rnacentral:rRNA from 1 species
UUGGGAGCUCAUUGGCUUCGGAGUCAUGGAAACUCCGAAGUUAAGCGAGUUGAGGCUAGAUCAAUCCCAGGAUGGGUGACCUACUGGGAAGUUGUUCGUGAGUUCCCAAA